UGAGGCAACAAAAUGAAAUGAGAAGUGGCAGGGUUUGAACGGAAAGCAAAUGAUUCUAUUGGUUGGUUGAUUAAGGAUUGGUGAUUGAGGAAUGUUUGAUUUAUAACCGUUUUUGUUUUAUAACCGAAUUUAUAGUUGAAGGUGGCAGACAAUAUGGGUGAUGUUGAGGAGGAAACAUUGCAAGUCGACAACAACCCUAUUUGAAUAUUACAAUGCAACCAGUGAUGUUGAUCAUGAAAUGGAAAAGAGAAGUUGGAGGACAGGAGAGUGCCUCAACCAAAAAGAAUCUCCAUUCUUGAGCAAUACACUUCGGCGCCGCAAAAACAGAUGGUACAGAAAAUUAGAAAACUCACCCAUAAGAAUUAUUCAAGUCAUCACAAUAGACUUGGUUCUGGCAGAGUUAUUAAACGGAAUAUUGAUAUCAAAGAUUCCAAACGAUUACUCCUGAGAUCGAAGAUGAUAGUGUCAAACUGAGUGUAAUGAUAAUUAGGGCCUGGAUAACAUUAAUUAGUGCUAUGCGCAGUAAAGAUAAGGGCAAACCCAGCAGAAAUUAUGAUGCGAGUACAAUGUUGAAUGGAGUUGCAUCUCUUGAAGCCGUAGUUUGGCUCUCCCUGCAUACGGAAUGCUGCGACCCUUAGCGUGUACCUUCUCCAGAACACUCAGAUUGACACUUGACACUCAUAUUUGAUCUCAGGGGUGAUCGUUUGUUGUCCUUUUGCGUCUUCGGUAUACAUUUGCGGGAUUUAUAAUUGGAAUCUUUGAUAUCAAUA